AGUGAACGCUGGCGGUAGGCCUAACACAUGCAAGUCGAACGGCAGCACAGUAAGAGCUUGCUCUUACGGGUGGCGAGUGGCGGACGGGUGAGGAAUACAUCGGAAUCUACUUUUUCGUGGGGGAUAACGUAGGGAAACUUACGCUAAUACCGCAUACGACCUACGGGUGAAAGCAGGGGAUCUUCGGACCUUGCGCGAUUGAAUGAGCCGAUGUCGGAUUAGCUAGUUGGCGGGGUAAAGGCCCACCAAGGCGACGAUCCGUAGCUGGUCUGAGAGGAUGAUCAGCCACACUGGAACUGAGACACGGUCCAGGCUCCUACGGGAGGCAGCAGUGGGGAAUAUUGGACAAUGGGCGCAAGCCUGAUCCAGCCAUACCGCGUGGGUGAAGAAGGCCUUCGGGUUGUAAAGCCCUUUUGUUGGGAAAGAAAAGCAGCAGGUUAAUACCCCGCUGUUCUGACGGUACCCAAAGAACAAGCACCGGCUAACUUCGU
rnacentral:rRNA from 1 species